CUUUACCAAUCAUAUUGAUUGAUUGCACAGCUUCCCUCGCCAACCACACUGUGGCAUUCACGUUCUCUGAACUUCACCCAGGGUUUUUUCCUGGGAAGCUGAAAAGCAGCAAGAGGCCUCAGAGAAAAAGAAAACAAUUCUUAUCUCACUUGCUUCUCCUGUGUUGUGCCCAUAUGGAAUGUGUUUGAAGAUUGUUUUACUCAAGGUGAUUGUUUGAUUGAACUCCAGUGUGAGUUGUUUUCACUCUCUGGCCAAUCAGGGCCAAGCUGUGUCAGGACUCUUUCCAGAGUCACGAGUUUUCAUUAUUAUCUCUUUAACAUUCAGGCUCAGGAUUCACCAUGGGGUCAGUCAUGACUGCCCAGUGUGAGGCUGGGUGUGCAGCAAAGCCAGAAGCUCAGAGGCACUGAGAGCAGAGAGCAGGUUGACCUGUCUGUUCCUCAUCUGGAGAAAGCCCCAGUUAAAUGUUCACUCCUGGUGUCCCAGCAGCCCAGGGAGCAAGGGAGCUGCCUGCACCUGACUGAAAGAGCAGCAACUCCUCCUAAUCUUUACCCUAACAUCAGUUAAGUGAGAAAUAAAAUAUUCCCUACUUAGAAGCAUUAUAUUUGUGACCCAGAUUUUAAGACACAGCUGUGAUCACGGGUGAGCUGUGACAGAGGAGUGCAUCUCAAUGGCUUCAGCCACUCUGCCCAUACCAGUUUUUGCUUUUACUUCUGCUUUCUCUUACCCACAAGCUCCUUGUUUUCCUUCCUAGAAGGUGACUGCAGCUAAAUCUAGCAACACUUCCAUGCACCAAAUAUCUGGGACAUAUUAUCUCAUGCUGAGAGCUUGCUCUCAGCAGAGUGAAAUUGGGCUGAGGAAAUAGUCAGUAGGAUGUGUUUCUCCACACUUGUCAAGGAGCAGCCACACUUUCCAGGAAUGGUCCUGUUGCAGUCUGCUGUAAAGAUUAACAAAUGGCUUCAUCUGCCUCGCUGCACCUGCAGAGAGCAGAGAGCAUGAGGGAAAACCCAGAACCUCUGGCUGGUCAGCUGUGUUUGUGUUCUCUGUCUGGACUUCACAUUGAACAGCUCUUUCAUCCUUGUUCAGUGUCAGUUCUGUGUUCACAGAAUCCUUCAGGCUGGAAAAGACCCUGGGAUCAUCAAAUCAAACCAUAAACCUGCCACAGCCAGGGGCACCAUGAGCACCCCAUGCUCCUAUCUCUGAACUCUGACAGGGACAGUGACUCCAUCACUUCCCUGGGCAGCCUUUUGCAAUGCUCAACCACCUUUUCAGUGAAGAUUUUUUGUUAAUAUCCAAUCUAAACCUCCCAUGGCACAACUUGAGGCUGUUUCAUCACUCAGGAAAUUUGUUUUUGGAUAAGGCAUCCAUCUACAUUUUGCUGUUUGGUGUCUUUGUGUACAUCCUAACAUAUUUGGUGCUUUUGCUGUAUGAUAUUAUGUGACACACUGUGUAAAAAGUAAGAUUUAUUUUUGGUGCAUGGUAACUUUAUGUGAUCAAUACAAUAAUAUCAUAAUUUCUUGCCUUAAGGGCUCAGCCUGAAUGCUGGUGAAAUGCCAAGACUUGAUCAAUAAUCUGCUGCAUUUUUAGAAGAGAUGGAUGUGAUGGGCCAGCUCAGCCUUUGUGCUCAAAAAUAUGGGGAAAAUCACUGCCAUUAGGCAGGCUACUACAGCUACAGAGAGCUGCUUUACACAACAUGCAAAGAAAUACAGAGAAGUGAGGUGAAAUCUCUACCACUCCUUGAAUAUGUUGUAAGAAAAAUAUUCCAGCGUAAAACAUUAGUUUAAAUUAUACAUGUUUCCAGGAUUGGAGUAAUUAAGUCAGAAUUAACUCAGCUUUUUCAUUCUACUUCCUCUCCCAUCCGUCAGUUGAAAUGAUAUCAUUAAAUUCUACUCAGCAAAUUAUGAUUUUACUGUCUCUAUCCAAUUCACAUAAUAUAUUCCUUGAAAUUCUCGUUCUAGAGUUGUCUAUUAUUCAUUAAAAUACCCUCAUAAGUUACUUCACUUCCCUGACACUUAACAGGAAAAGUAGCAGUAAGUUCCUACUUUGUGUUUUAUCAGCACAUGCUGGGAAACAGGCUCUAUGUAAUUCAUCUGCUUGCAUGGAAAUUAAAUGAAAAUUACAGAGGUGGAAGUGGGGCCACAUGCCAGUUGCUCUGCCUUCCACUAUUUUCCACACUGCCUCAUUGACAAAAUCCAAUCUUUUCCUGAAUGGACAAUUUACAAGAGGAACCAAAUGGAUCCUUACUGGCUAUCCUGCCAAAAUUGUCAUUAAAGAUGCUAAUGGCAUGAGGGGAAUUUGUGCAUGAACCUGUCAUGGAGCCUAGGCUGUGAUUAAAAAUACGUGCUGUGCCAAAAUCUGGGUUUCAUGCAUUCGUUUCGAAGAUACAUUCCAUUUUUCCACUCCGUGUUUUCUGCUUGUAACAAGUUUUCUUGCAGGAGAAGUUUACUCUUCCUGCAGGCAGUCUGAUAAGCACAGGGACAGCAGUGGGUUCAGUGAGUGACUCUCUCACCCAAGAUGCUGUCUUGCUGCCUAGAUGAAAAAGGUUCAGGACUAGAAAGUUCAAUCAGUAAUACACAAACAUGAAGUGUUCCUCUAUCAGCUCUUAGGUGUGGGAUUUGAUGGGCAAGGCAGGGUGGUUGAUAAGGCUCUGUUGAGUCAUGGCUGUUUUUUUGGGUGGUUUGAUUUCCAUUCCUGUUCAUGUAUUGAUGGGAGCCUCAGUUCUCCAGCAGUGCUGGAGUUAUCAGGACAGACCAGUUGUUAUUCAGACCAACACCUCUCCAUCUUCUGAUGUAUAAUUUGUUUUGCAAUGUGUUUAUUUUUGGUAAGAUUGGGGUGUUUUUUUUGUUUUUAUAAAUGUCUAUUUCCAUCCUCAAUCAGAGGCAGCAGCUGCAUGGAAAGGUCUUGGUGUUGCUGAGAUAUGAAAUUGUAUGGCAGGCUUUCACUGGACCUGUUUGGGAUGCAAGAGCCUGUAAAGUGUCUGACUGUGGCAUUCACAUUCUCUGAAAUAAUCCCUUCACCCAGGAUUUUUCUCCUUGGAAGCUGAGAAGCCUCAGAGAAAAGAAAAACAAUUCUUAUCUCAUUUGCUUCUCCUGUGUUUUGCUUUUGUAUUUGGAGAUUGUUUACCCACAGGUGAUUGUUCCAUUGGGUUCUGCUGGGAGUUGUUUUCACUCUUUGGCCAACCAGGGCCAAGCUGUGUCAGGACUCUGGGAAGAGUCACAAGUUUUCAUUAUUUUCUUUUCAACAUUGAGUAAGUAUCUUUUCUGUAUUCUUCAGUAUAGUUAGCAUAGCAUUCUUUAAUAUAAUAUAGUGUCAUAAAGUAAUUAAUUAGCCUUCUGAGAACAUGGGGUCAGAUGCAUCAUUCCUGCCUUCAUUGGGACGUUCCCAGCAAAUACAAUAUCUGACACCUGUGAAUAUUGAUGGCUGGGAGGCAGCAGAGCUCUGCCCUUCUGCCUGUGCACGUGUUCUGAAUGGAAAUUACUUCUCUCUCCACUAUCUAAAUUUUGGAUUUGUUGGGUAAAAUUUUGAAUUUGCCAGUUGGACUUUUGUUGGUUUCUUCUGAUCAGUCAAUUUGAAAUUAAAGGGAGAUUUACAUUUUACACAGGAGAAGCCAAGAGCAGUGAGUCACUUUCUUGCUCAAAUCCAUCUGUCUGUGUCCAUCCAGGAUGCACAGCAGCAGAACAAGAUUAAUUGAUUGAUAGAGCACAGCAAGUUAAUGUUGACAAGCAUGAAUACAGGAAAAACAACUUUCAAGAUGAAGUCCUUGAAAUAUACUUUUUGCACCUUA